GGAUGAGCUAAAAUUUAAAAUCUGGCUGGUUUACUAGUCCGAAUUGUAGUUUAUAGAAGCGUUUUCGGUGGCAGCCUGGGUAUAAAUCCUUUGGAAUAGGGUAUCAUAGAGGGUGAGAAUCCCGUCUUUGACUCAGUGCAUGCUACUAUGUGAUACGUUUUCAAAGAGUCGAGUUGUUUGGGAAUGCAGCUCAAAAUGGGUGGUAAAUUUCAUCUAAAGCUAAAUAUUGGCGAGAGACCGAUAGCGAACAAGUACCGUGAGGGAAAGAUGAAAAGAACUUUGAAAAGAGAGUUAAACAGUGCGUGAAAUUGUUGAAAGGGAAACGUUUGACACCAGUUAUGCGGGUGGAAAAUCAGUCUUUUGCAAUGGGGAGUUGUGGGCGUUCAGACCGCAAGGCUGGCGUUUGCUUCAUCUUUGUUGUAAGUGAUGCACUUUUUCAUUUGCAGGUCAACAUCAGUUUGCUUUGCUGGACAAAACCCCAAGGGAAGGUGGCAGCUUAGGCUGUGUUAUAGCCCUGGGGCGAUACAGUGGAGUGGACUGAGGUUUCGCAGUGUGUGCUCUCGGGCAAGGCUGACUGGGUGCUAUGGGAUCGUUCGGCGUACAAUGCAUGCAUUUUGCGUCGUGUCUUUUUCAUACUCGCUCAACUCGGCUCUUCCACACUUAGGAUGUUGACUUAAUGGUUUUAAACGACCCGUCUUGAAACACGGACCAAGGAGUCUAACAUAUAUGCAAGUGUUUGGGUGGCAAACCCAUGCGCGUAAUGAAAGUGAACGUAGGUGCGAUCCGCAAGGUGCAGCAUCGACCGAUCUUGAUAUUUUUGGAUAGAUUUGAGUAAGAGCAUAUAUGCUGGGACCCGAAAGAUGGUGAACUAUGCCUGAAUAGGGUGAAGCCAGAGGAAACUCUGGUGGAGGCUCGUAGCGAUUCUGACGUGCAAAUCGAUCGUCAAAUUUGGGUAUAGGGGCGAAAGACUAAUCGACCAUCUAG
rnacentral:rRNA from 1 species